AUUGAACGCUGGCGGCACGCCUAACACAUGCAAGUCGAGCGGUAGCAUGAGUAGUAGCAAUACUACUUGAUGACGAGCGGCGGACGGGUGAGGAACACGUAGGAACUUGCCUUUUAGAGGGGGAUAACUAAGGGAAACUUUAGCUAAUACCGCGUAAUCUCGAGAGAGUAAAGCUGCCCGCAAGGGUGGCGCUAAAAGAGAGGCCUGCGUCCGAUUAGCUAGUUGGUGGGGUAAUGGCUCACCAAGGCGAUGAUCGGUAACUGGUCUGAGAGGACGACCAGUCACACUGGGACGUAGAGACGGCCCAGACUCCUACGGGAGGGAGCAUGGGGGAAUAGUGGACAAUGGGGGCAACCCUGAUCCAGCGAUGCCGCGUGAGUGAAGAAGGCCCUCGGGUCGUAAAGCUCUUUAGGUUGGGAAGAAGGACGUUAGGUUAAUACCCUGAUGUUUUGACGGUACCGACAGAAUAAGCACCGGCAAACUCUGUGCCAGCCGCCGCAGUAA
rnacentral:rRNA from 1 species